ensembl:misc_RNA 7SK 7SK RNA
GAAGGUACGGGCAAUAUGAUUGUAGCAUGUCACUCUGUUAAUAUCCAGUAGAGUUUGGGACAGUCUAGCUAACAAGUUAGAUGUCAUGUCCCCUACUCCCCUCUUCAUAUAUGACCCUCCAGAAUCUGUUCCCUUUGCCCAAGAUGAUGACUUUCCUUUGAAGAGGAGAAGUGUUCUUUAGGCAAGAGUUUCUAAGUAGGGACAUUUCUUUGUUAGAAUCUCUUAAGUAAAGAUCUACCACAGUUGAUUGCACCAUUCGGCAGGAGUAUUCACUGUGUGUAUAAUUAUGCAAGACUUCUCCAAGGGCCUGAGCCAGGGUUAGAUUAUCCAGGUGAGCUGUACCUUCUGUUUGUUU